GAUUAUAGUUAAAGAAACAAAUAAAGUUAGGGAUUAAAAGGGUGCUUUUGACUUGCUAUUUUCGGAUAUUUCUAGAGGAAAGAGAAUUUUCCUAUUUUAGUUAGACAACUUCAUCUUCUUCAUUGUGUUUUCUCUUUCAUUAAACUUCACCCCCAAAAACUCAUAAACCACCAUUUUUACUCAAGUUUAAGCUUAAAAUCAAGAUGUGACGGAAAGUCAACUAUUGACGGAUCAAAUUGAAGGAGCACCGGUUGGAAUAGACCGAGUGGCUAAUAGUGGAUCAUCGUGGCGUAUUUAAUUAUUUAUGGAGCGACAGUCUGAAUAUUGCCUGUGUCUGGACAAGACUUCAUCUUUUUGAUUCAUGAAGUCUUCGUUUUGCGUAUAUGGUAUUUGGUCUUAUCUUGAUCUGUAGAGCUGCAGUAGAAUAGAUAGACGGACGCCUUAGCAUGUCAGUAUUUGCGAUGUUUGCCACGCAUGAACUCUGUUUUGUUUUCAUCGCACGAUUAUAAUAUAUUUUAAUGACAUGCAUUAAGGUAUUGGAAAAUAGUUGCAACCCGGGUACACGGUAGUACCGGGAGUUUUGAGAUACAGUGUAAAGGAAACUGUACGCAACUAUGUUAUGUGUAUAAUGUGGGGCCCAGCGUGGCUAUAUGCAUAAUUGCAUGUUAUCGGUUUUGUAAAA